rnacentral:lncRNA from 1 species
CUCAAUGAAAUGAUAUUGUCAGGCAGCUGUAGGACCAUAGGGUGUAUCUGAGGUUGUGAUGGCUUCAUGGCUACACCAGAAAUAUUGUGUUAUUAGGGCUGGGAGACAUAAGGAGUUCAUAGGUGAGAAAUAUGUGCAAUUCAAGCAUGCAUCUGAUGAUGAGCUUUGCUCCAUGUAGAUUGGGCGCUAGAUGAAGCGCCGCUUGGACUCAUCCUGGGGAGGUCAAGCACUCUGGUUAGGCUCGUCUCAAGUACCCAGCCAGGCUCUCAGAUUGUGCGCAAGCAUGAGUAGCGUGUGGGUCGUGGAUGUCACCUGCCUUUUGAAGUGCUUGCUGCUGAUGUUCACGGACCACGUGCUGCUUAAUUUCCUAUAGUAGAUGUUUUUUUUUUGCUAAAUCUCUCAUUAACCAUGCGUCAUGUUUUGGUUUCUUUCUCAUGCUGCUGUUCUCUUUUGUUAGU